GAUGAACGCUAGCUACAGGCUUAACACAUGCAAGUCGAACGAAGGCUUCGGCCUUAGUGGCGCACGGGUGCGUAACGCGUGGGAAUCUGCCCUUAGGUUCGGAAUAACAGCUGGAAACGGCUGCUAAUACCGGAUGAUAUCGCGAGAUCAAAGAUUUAUCGCCUGAGGAUGAGCCCGCGUUGGAUUAGGUAGUUUGUGGGGUAGAGGCCUACCAAGCCGACGAUCCAUAGCUGGUCGGAGAGGAUGAUCAGCCACACUGGGACUGAGACACGGCCCAGACUCCUACGGGAGGCAGCAGUGGGGAAUAUUGGACAAUGGGCGAAAGCCUGAUCCAGCAAUGCCGCGUGAGUGAUGAAGGCCCUAGGGUUGUAAAGCUCUUUUACCCGGGAAGAUAAUGACUGUACCGGGAGAAUAAGCCCCGGUUAACUCCGUGCCAGCCGCCGCGGUAA
rnacentral:rRNA from 1 species